rnacentral:rRNA from 1 species
GACGAACGCUGGCGGCGUGCUUAACACGUGCAAGUCGAACGGUAAGGCCCUUCGGGGUACACGAGUGGCGAACGGGUGAGUAACACGUGGGUGAUCUGCCCUGCACUUCGGGAUAAGCCUGGGAAACUGGGUCUAAUACCGGAUAGGACUCCUGGCUUCAUGGUUGGGGGUGGAAAGCUUUUGCGGUGUGGGAUGGGCCUGCGGCCUAUCAGCUUGUUGGUGGGGUAAUGGCCUACCAAGGCGACGACGGGUAGCCGGCCUGAGAGGGUGACCGGUCACACUGGGACUGGGAUACGGCCCAGACUCCUACGGGGGGCAGCAGUGGGGAAUAUUGCACAAUGGGCGCAAGCCUGAUGCAGCGACGCCGCGUGAGGGAUGACGGCCUUCGGGUUGUAAACCUCUUUCAGCUAUGACGAAGCGCAAGUGACGGUAGUAGCAGAAGAAGGACCGGCCAACUACGUGCCAGCCGCCGCGGUAA